rnacentral:lncRNA from 1 species
CGGCGGCGUCGCACCUGCUUCCCCGGGAGCUGCCUGCCGCGGGGGGGGAGGGGGUGUGUGUGACGCGGCCCCGCCGGGAAACGGGACCGGGUGAGGCCGGUGGCGCCGCCGGGGGCUGCGAGGGGCCGGGCGGGACCCCGGGCGCGUCCCGUGGGGAGCCCGCGGCGGUGCCCGACACGGCGGGGGCCACCCGGUGUCUGACACUGCUGGCGCCGGGCGCCCCGGGACUGCCUUUCCCCGCUUUCCGGGUGAAGCGGCGCACCGGUUAGGUGGCCCAUGAGGUAUUUACAGCUGCUUCCAGGCUGCCUGUAGCCGGCACCUUGAGUACCCGUGAAAACCCGAGUAUAACAACAGGCAGUUUGCAAACUGCGGCGGUCCGGUGGGUUAAACAGAGCGACUCCCGAUGAAAGCGCAGUCACGCUGGUAAGAAGUAAAGCAGCGUUAAUAUUGGAGAAGCAAGGUCACGCACCUUUUGUAUCGGAACAGCAAGUGCCUUGUGGUAUUAGGAGCUUGCACCAGAAUUCUUCCCACCUCCUGGUAGCUAGUCCCAGGCCGCAGGAGGACAUUUCUCAGGAUGCGGGUCUGUGUCGCAAAGGCAAUGUUGAUGCAAGGAGUUCUCAUGCCUCCCACAUACCUCAUUUUCUGCUCGUCUCUCAGUCCCACCCCGACACUGCAGCAUGCAGCCUUGCGAGGCGUUUGUAGCCUGGAUCCUUUCAGCAACCUGCCUUCUCGCAGAGCCCUGCUGAUGGCUCCACAGGUUCUCCUACAGCAAUGUAGCAAGCUGCUGCAUGUCCCUUUUAACUGUGGGUACAGAAGAAUUUACAAUGCAAGCAUUUUAUAA